GCCUGGGUGGCUCAGUUGGUUAAGCAUCUGACUUCAGCUCAGGUUGCGAUCUCCCGGUUUGUGAGUCUGAGCCCCCCUCAGGCU
rnacentral:tRNA from 1 species